CAAAGAGGAGAGAGGAGACAGUACAAAAGAGAAUGGUAAGAUUGAGUAAAAUUGACAUUGAAAAUGACAUUGUUUUUAAUAGAAUCAAAUGGCCUAAGUAAGUUUUCUUUUAUGAUUGCAAUCUAAUAAUUUUUGCUGUCAAGCAGAUGUAAGAACAACCAUUGUAUUAAAAAGUAACUUUGCAUUGUAUUUUGGUUAGUUUUAUUUACAAACAUUAGGCAAGAAGAAAGAAGGAAGGCCCUUAGACUUGGAACAGUUUCGGCCAGCUCUUAAAAGACAGCUGGAACUA